ensembl:lncRNA
UAAAAAGAGGUCUUUAACCAGAAAUUCUUUAACCAGAGGUCUAUAACCAGAAAUUCUUUAACCAGAAAUCCUUUAACCAGAGUUCUAUAACCAGAAAUCCUUUAACCAGAGGUCUAUAACCAGAAAUUCUUUAAAAAGAGGUCUUUAACCAGAGGUCUAUAACCAGAAAUUCUUUAACCAGAGGUCUAUAACCAGAAAUUCUUUAACCAGAAAUCCUUUAACCAGAGUUCUAUAACCAGAAAUCCUUUAACCAGAGGUCUAUAACCAGAAAUCCUUUAACUAAAGGUCUAUAACCAGAAAUCCUUUAACUAAAGGUCUAUAACCAGAAAUCCUUUAACCGGAGCUCCAUAACCAAAAAAUCCUUUAACCGGAGACCUUUAACCAGAGUACUUGAACUUGAAGCCCAAUAGAAUACAUUUGUCUGUUUCUUGUAUGAUCAGCAGGUGGCAGGCUACACCAUGCAAAAGCCUGAUUGUACCUUGUUUUAAAAUAAUUGUUUCCCAUAAGCAUUACUGUAUCAUUUAAACAUAAAAAAAAUGUUGCAGAAAUCAUACAACAUAAUUAUUAAUUAUGACUGUCAUUACAUAAUAUGUAGAAAGGAAGAGUAUGAAAUGGUAAUUUUCCUCCCAUUAACUCUAAGUGCACAUGUUUCCAGCCCUGGUCCAGGAGUACCCCUCUCCUACAUAUUUUAGUUUUUUUUUUAUCCUGCUCCUAUUCCCAACAUCUGCUUCAUCUAAUCAGCUAAUUAACCGCCCUUCGUGAUUUGAACUGGGUGUGUUAGACCAGGGACAACACUAAAAUGUGCAAGACAGGCAGUAGUCCAGGACCAGGGUUGGGAACCGGUGGCUUAUUGAAGAUGAAGUCUUGCUGGUAAAUGGAGAAUGUUUUAAAACGAUCCAAGUAAAAUGAUUUCAG